GGUCAAGCUAUAAAGAGCGCAAGGGGAAUGCCUUGGCAUCAGGAGCCGAAGAAGGACGUGACAAGCUGCGAUAAGCCACGGGGAGGAGCAAAUAUCCGAUAUAUCCGUGGAUUUCCGAAUGGGGGAACCCGCUUGAGCAAUACUCAAGCAUCGUGCAUUGAAUCAAAUAGGUGUACGAGGGGAACGGUCUGAACUGAAACAUCUAAGUAGGACCAGGAAAAGACAUCAACCGAGAUUCCGCAAGUAGUGGCGAGCGAACGCGGAGGAGGCCAAACCGGAGGAU
rnacentral:ncRNA from 1 species